CCGCGUCCACCCUCUCGGCAAGUCUGCUGAGCCAGUGACCGUCCUGUGGUCGGCGCGUCCAUCCAGAAGGCACAGCUGGCCGGCCCAGGGCUGGGGGAACAACUGAUGGAUGAAUGCGUGAGCGCCGGAGCCGAUCCGCCCCGUUGCUUGCCAGAGGAGGGGCUCUCAGCCCGGCUUCCUCCCCAGCCUGACCCUCCUCUUCCCCCGUUUUAGCUUCCUGCGUCACCCCCGCCCCCAGGUGGAAGCAACAGGUGGACAGCGGAGAGGAGCACUCAGCCAAGAGACAAAUGUGCUGCUUCCCACGGGCUGGCAGCCCAGGGACUGACCACCUGCUCUCCGCUCACCACCAGCCCGAGCAAGGCCUUCCCGCAGACCCACGCUUCCCGGCAUUUGAUGCCUAAGAGCGCGGGCUGGCGCGAGACCCAGGACACGGAGAGGCCCCUGUGCACGGAGAGCCCUUGCAGCCCAGUGACUGGAGACACUGCUCCAACAACGUACAUGAGAGAAAGACGAACACCGUGAUUCGUGAGUCGCGAUGCGCGCCACGAACAACAUGACGCUCCGCGAACGAAGCCGGUCGCCGAGGCCACGUGCUCCGUAUGGUUUCAUUUAUGCGAAACGUCCAGAGGAGAAGACACAUCCACUCGGCCUCUGUUUGCCAUCUGUCAAAAGAGCUCCAUCAGUGGUUUGCAAACUGCGUUUCAAGGCACCCCGGGGGCCAAGAAGAGAUUUCCACCGCCCUGGAGAAAGGAUGCCACUGAGGUUCCCCUGGGAACCCACCCACGUCCUGCCUCCCCUUUAGGCCUGGCCCAACCUACAGGAUGCGGCUGCCAAAUGUAGGUGAGGAAGAGGAAGGCGUGGGGGGUGGUGAGCAGGAAUUCGCAUCCUGGGGACCAGGAGAUGGAAACUCCAGGUGCCUGUGGACUAGCUUCCGGCUCCAGCCUAGGGAAGAAGACUUAGCCACUGCCUCUUGGGACGCAGCUGCCUGGCUCAGAGCCCGGAGCCCUUCCCAGACGUGGUGCCAGCACUCCCUCUUCCCUUCUGGGAGGGGAGACUCUCUGGAGCCUCCUGCUCGGGGCCCCAGGUCUGCACUAGCCGUGGCUCCGGCCACCGAAUCCCAGACGCUUUGGAGGGUGAAGCUGGGCCCCGGGCAGGGUGCUGGGGACCCUGACCCUGGGGAGUUCACAAAGCCCCCAUUAUGCUUGCCCAAGUCUUAACGCCAGCAGCCCGAGAGCCCCCUGAGGACGAGGCCGAUAAGAUCAGGCAGGAGCACAUUCAAAUGGUCACUGCGGCAUGGUGGGGCCUGUGGCCAAGCGGAGUACCCUUGCGCCGUCCAAAGGGCUGUGAGCCGCCUCUUGCCAGACUUGAAUUUUCCAAAGCCGGGGUUUCACCGUGAACUCUCCAGAUUCUGGAAAACUCGGGGGGAGCAAAACGCAUCCAGGAGCAGGGUACAGGCAGCCCGCGGGCUACCAGUUAGCAAAAUGUCUUGGGGCCCGGAUACAAUGACCCUCUUCCGGGAAAGGAACCUGGGGCUGGGAGAGAAGCAGCAAGUCGCGAGGCCCCCCACGUGGCACGUGGUGGCGUCCAGACGCAAAGCCGCCGCAGAUGCGAGGAAGGACGCUCUCGUCAAGCCCUUCCCUUGCUUUUCCAAAUAAAUAAAUUACACUUCC